GGUGGUAUCUGCUCCACAUGCCCUACAGAACAUGGUUUGCUGGCCACCUGACUGGUAGCUUACCAGUGUUCAUAUGACCCACUAUCUGACUCUGUUGACACUGUCCAGGCCACCAGGAAGCCAGGGCAGUGGCCUUGAGAGUUGCCCCAGUGAUGGUGGUCCAAGGCCUAAGAUCACCAGGACCCAAGCUCUUGUACUCUGUUGAAGAUCUGGCAUUCAUCUCAAGAGACCCCAACAACCGCUUUGAACCAGAAAAAGAACUCUGGUAUGUACCAUCAGGAAAGAUGAUUCUACCACAAGAACAAGUGUUGACAAUGAUAAGACAAAUGCAUCAAUGGCCCUACCUAAGGAUAUCAAGUUAACUCAAACUGCCUUAAGACCUAAGUAUUAUGUUCCAGGACUGAAACAACCUGGUGGAACAAAUAGUUUACAGUUGUGUUCCCUGCCAAAAAGUAAAUGCUUGCAGAAGCAAAGCUGACCCCAGUAAGAGACCUCAGGGAGAUAAGCCAGGAGCCUAUUGGGAAGUGGAUUUCACCGAGAUAAAACCAGUCAAGAAUUUUAAUCUGAAAUAUUCACAGAAGUGUGCCAUGAAAUUGAAAAUAUUUCAUCACUGAGUGACAUAUUUCUCCAAUGGAAGGCUAUACAAGCCAGAGGAGUUGACAGGAACAGAAGCAAAUUACAAAUAAAAUUACUGAGAACAUAGUACCUAGAAGCCACAACUGUUGUCAUUUGGUUUCCUGUGAUGCCUGUGGCCAUGGCUAUCGCAGACCUCCUGUAAGGCCUUCAGACUCUGGUGUCUUCAGAG
ensembl:lincRNA 1700022A22Rik RIKEN cDNA 1700022A22 gene